UACGUAGGCAGCGAGCGUUGUUCGGAAUUACUGGGCGUAAAGAGUGUGUAGGCGGUGCUCUAAGUUCGGUGUGAAAUCUCCUGGCUCAACUGGGAGGGUGCGCCGGAAACUGGAGUGCUUGAGCGUGGGAGAGGAAAGCGGAAUUCCUGGUGUAGCGGUGAAAUGACGCAGAUAUCAGGAAGAACACCCGUGGCUAAGGCGGCUCUCUGGGACGGUACUGACGCUGAGACGCGAAAGCGUGGGAGCGAACAGG
rnacentral:rRNA from 1 species